rnacentral:lncRNA from 1 species
GGAUCCGCGGCUGCAGGGCAGACCACCGGGGGGAACGGCACAGGCGCCCUACCCACAGGCCACUGGGAGACUCGUGCUCGUGUGAGGAGGCUGUGUGUGGAGUGGGACGUUCCUGGGCUCCCCGACCCCUUGCGCACCUGCAGGCCACCACCACGGCCAUCCAGAGCUCCCCAGGCCUGGGCUCCCUCCACUUCUCCACCUGCACAUCCCAGAUAAGGAAAUGGGGCUGCAGAGUGUAGGCGUCUUGGCUCAGGGCGGCCAGCGCAGGAAGUGGCAGAGCUGGAACCCCGCCAUGGCUCUGCUCUGAAAUGCUCUAGGACAUCUGCCAAGCACCAGCUGUAGAGGAGGGCUUGCAGGGGCAGAGCUGCAGACAGUGGGCGGCUGGUCUUUUCCAGCCUUCCCCUUGACCUUGCAGAAGCUUUCCUAGACUCAGCCUUCCCUGCCCAGCCACCCCGCCUCCAACUGAGAGCCCACCAGCAAAAUCACUUCAUCCAGGUCUUGUCUGAGCACAGCUGGUAUUGGUGGGUACGCAGGUCUCUGUGGCUUGCAGAGCGUGGGCAGCUUACCUGCCAUUUUCCUGUUAGUACUUGAUUCUCAUGGCCACAGGAAGUUGUCUUUUUAAUUAUGUGGUUAAAGUCAGUUCCAUGGGAUUUUAUUGAGGCUCUACUAUGGGAGAUUCCUGGCACCUGAUGGUGGUGUGAUGGUUGUGAUGUACAUGGUGAUAAUGGUGGUGGUGAGGAUGGUGAGGAUGGUGGUGGUGGUGGUGGUGGUAAUGGUGGUGGUGAUAGUAGUGAUGGUGUGGUGAUGGUGAUGGUGAUGGUGGUGAUGGUGGUGGUACUGGGGAUGGUGAUGAUGGCAGUAGUGGUGGUGGUGGUGAUGGUGAUGAUUGUGAUGGUUGGUGGUGGUAGUGAUGGUUGUGAUGUACAUGGUGAUAAUGGUGGUGGUGAGGAUGGUGGUGGUGGUGGUGGUAAUGGUGGUGGUGAUAGUAGUGAUGGUGGUGGUGAUGAUGGUGGUGAUGGUGGUGGUAGUGAGGAUGGUAAUGAUGGC